AACUGAGACUUCACCCACAAUUUAAUGUCUUCUCCUUCAUUAGCCUUAUCUGUUGCUUCAUCAUCAUUAUCUUCUGCUUCAUCAUCAUCAACCAAUUCUAACUUACGCUUCCAGCCUCGCGUGGAUGUACUAACUUUUGUUUUUGAUGGAGUUCUUUUAGAAGAAGAAGUUGGCGAAAGUUUCUUUUU
rnacentral:sRNA from 1 species